AGAGUUUGAUCCUGGCUCAGAAUGAACGUUGGCGGCGUGGAUUAGGCAUGCGAGUCGUGCGAGAACCGUAGCAAUACGGGGACAGCGGCGAAAGGGAGAGGAACACGUGGAUACCUACCCUCAGGUUCAGGAUAGCUAUGGGAAACUAUAGGUAAUACUGAAUAAUAUCUCCGGAUCAAAGGUGUGAUUCCGCCGGAGGAGGGGGUCCGCGUCCUAUUAGCUAGUUGGUGAGGUAAUGGCUCACCAAGGCGAAGAUGGGUACGGGAUGUGAGAACAUGAUCCCGCUCAUUGGGACUGAGACACUGCCCAGACACCUACGGGUGGCUGCAGUCGAGAAUCUUCGGCAAUGGGGGAAACCCUGACCGAGCGACGCCGCGUGUGAGAUGAAGGCCUUCGGGUUGUAAAUCACUGUCGUAGAGGAGGAAGUGUAGGUGGGUUCUCCCACUUAUUUGACCUAUUCUAGGAGGAAGGACGGGCUAAGUUCGUG
rnacentral:rRNA from 1 species